AAAAUAUCUUAUGUAGCAGUCUGUGCUGCACUGAACCUGAAGAAGCCUCUGCCUGAAGAUACUCCGCCUUCCCAAGACAGUCUUGUGAAGAGGAUGGUCAGGAUUGUCCAUUAUUUUCUUGAUUUUAUGAAGAA